ACCCUGACCGAGCAACGCCGCGUGAGUGAAGAAGGGUUCGGUACGUAAAGCUCUGUUGUUAAGGAAGAACGUGUGUGAGAGUGGAAAGUUCACACAAUGACGGUACUUAACCAGAAAGGGACGGCUAACUACGUGCCAGCAGCCGCGGUAAUACGUAGGUCCCGAGCGUUGUCCGGAUUUAUUGGGCGUAAAGCGAGCGCAGGCGGUUAGAUAAGUCUGAAGUGAAAGGCAGUGGCUCAACCAUUGUAGGCUUUGGAAACUGUUUAACUUGAGUGCAGAAGGGGAGAGUGGAAUUCCAUGUGUAGCGGUGAAAUGCGUAGAUAUAUGGAGGAACACCGGUGGCGAAAGCGGCUCUCUGGACUGUAACUGACGCUGAGGCUCGAAAGCGUGGGGAGCGAACAGGAUUAGAUACCCUGGUAGUCCACGCCGUAAACGAUGGGUGCUAGGUGUUAGGUCUUUCCGGGACUUAGUGCCGCAGCUAACGCAUUAAGCACUCCGCCUGGGGAGUACGAAC
rnacentral:rRNA from 1 species